GGGGAUAUAGCUCAGUUGGUAGAGUGCUUGCCUUGCAUGCACAAGGCUAUGGGUUCAAUCCCUAGCACCCCCC
rfam:Ictidomys tridecemlineatus contig067240, whole genome shotgun sequence.